UACGUAGGGCGCAAGCGUUAUCCGGAAUUAUUGGGCGUAAAGAGCUCGUAGGCGGUUUGUCGCGUCUGCCGUGAAAGUCCGGGGCUCAACUCCGGAUCUGCGGUGGGUACGGGCAGACUAGAGUGAUGUAGGGGAGACUGGAAUUCCUGGUGUAGCGGUGAAAUGCGCAGAUAUCAGGAAGAACACCCGUGGCGAAGGCGGCUUCUGGGACGGUACUGACGCUGAGACGCGAAAGCGUGGGGAGCGAACAGG
rnacentral:rRNA from 1 species